UACGUAGGGAGCAAGCGUUAUCCGGAUUUACUGGGUGUAAAGGGCGCGUAGGCGGGAUGGCAAGUCAGAUGUGAAAUCCAGGGGCUCAACCCCUGAACUGCAUUUGAAACUGUCGUUCUUGAGUACUGGAGAGGUUGACGGAAUUCCUAGUGUAGCGGUGAAAUGCGUAGAUAUUAGGAGGAACACCAGUGGCGAAGGCGGUCAACUGGACAGCAACUGACGCUGAGGCUCGAAAGCGUGGGGAGCAAACAGG
rnacentral:rRNA from 1 species